rnacentral:rRNA from 1 species
GAUGAACGCUGGCGGCGUGCCUAAUACAUGCGAGUCGAGCGAACGGACGAGAAGCUUGCUUCUCUGAUGUUAGCGGCGGACGGGUGAGUAACACGUGGAUAACCUACCUAUAAGACUGGGAUAACUUCGGGAAACCGGAGCUAAUACCGGAUAAUAUUUUGAACCGCAUGGUUCAAAAGUAAAAGACGGUCUUGCUGUCACUUAUAGAUGGAUCCGCGCUGCAUUAGCUAGUUGGUAAGGUAACGGCUUACCAAGGCAACGAUGCAUAGCCGACCUGAGAGGGUGAUCGGCCACACUGGAACUGAGACACGGUCCAGACUCCUACGGGAGGCAGCAGUAGGGAAUCUUCCGCAAUGGGCGAAAGCCUGACGGAGCAACGCCGCGUGAGUGAUGAAGGUCUUCGGAUCGUAAAACUCUGUUAUUAGGGAAGAACAUAUGUGUAAGUAACUGUGCACAUCUUGACGGUACCUAAUCAGAAAGCCACGGCUAACUACGU